UACAUGGGGUGCAAACGUUGCUCGGAAUUACUGGGCGUAAAGCGCGCGUAGGCGGACCUGCAAGUCGGGGGUGAAAGCCCUGGGCUCAACCCAGGAAGUGCAUUCGAAACUUCCGAGCUCGAGUUCUGGAGAGGAUAGCGGAAUUCUCGGUGUAGAGGUGAAAUUCGUAGAUAUCGAGAGGAACACCGGUGGCGAAGGCGGCUAUCUGGACAGAAACUGACGCUGAGACGCGAAAGCGUGGGGAGCAAACAGG
rnacentral:rRNA from 1 species